GACGAACGCUGGCGGCGUGCUUAACACAUGCAAGUCGAACGGUGAAGCGCCUUCCUUUUUGGUGGGUGUGGAUGAGUGGCGAACGGGUGAGUAACACGUGAGUAACCUGCCCCCUUCUUCUGGAUAACCGCAUGAAAGUGUGGCUAAUACGGGAUAUUCUGGUUCUGUCGCAUGAUGGGUCUGGGUAAGCUAUUGUUUCGGUGGGGGAUGGGCUCGCGGCCUAUCAGCUUGUUGGUGGGGUGAUGGCCUACCAAGGCUGGGACGGGUAGCCGGCCUGAGAGGGUGGACGGUCACACUGGGACUGAGACACGGCCGAGACUGCGAUGGGGGCCAGCAGUGGGGAAUAGUGCGCAAUGGGGGAAAGCCUGAUGCAGCGACGCCGCGUGAGGGAUGGAGGCCUUCGGGUUGUGAACCUCUUUCGCCAGUGAAGCAGGCCUGCCUCGUUUGUGGGUGGGUUGACGGUAGCUGGAAAAGAAGCGCCGGCUAACUACGUG
rnacentral:rRNA from 1 species